CCUACGGGGGGCAGCAGUGAGGAAUAUUGGUCAAUGGGCGGGAGCCUGAACCAGCCAAGCCGCGUGAGGGAAGAAGGUACAGCGUAUCGUAAACCUCUUUUGUCAGGGAACAAAGGCGGGGACUAGUCCCCGGAUGAGGGUACCUGAAGAAAAAGCAUCGGCUAACUCCGUGCCAGCAGCCGCGGUAAUACGGGGGAAGCGAUCGUUAUCCGGAUUUAUUGGGUUUAAAGGGUGCGCAGGCGGCCUGUUAAGUCAGCGGGAAAAGCCCGGGGCUCAACCCCGGCGAGCCGUUGAAACUGGCGGGCUGGAGUUGGAGAGAAGUACGCGGAAUGCGCGGUGUAGCGGUGAAAUGCUUAGAUAUCGCGCAGAACACCGAUUGCGAAGGCAGCGUACCGGCUCCACACUGACGCUGAGGCACGAAAGCGUGGGUAUCGAACAGGAUUAGAUACCCCUGUAGUC
rnacentral:rRNA from 1 species